rnacentral:rRNA from 1 species
AUACGUAGGGUCCAAGCAUUAUCCGGAUUGACUGGGUGUAAAGAGUUGCGUAGGUGGCAGGGUAAGUAGAUAGUGAAAUCUGGUGGCUCAACCAUUCAGACUAUUAUCUAAACUGCUCCGCUCGAGAGCGUUAGGGGUAGCUGGAAUUUCUAGUGUAGGAGUGAAAUCCGUAGAUAUUAGAAAGAACACCGAUAGCGUAGGCAGGCUACUGGGACGUUUCUGACACUAAGGCACGAAAGCGUGGGGAGCAAACGGGAUUAGAUACCCCGGUAGUCCACGCCGUAAACGAUGGAUACUAGCAGUUUCGGGUAUCGACCCCUGGAGUUGCGAAGCUAACGCGUUAAGUAUCCCACCUGUGUAGUACGAUCGCAAGAUUAAAACUUAAAGGAAUUGACGGGG